UUUCCGUAGGUGAACCUGCGGAAGGAUCAUUAAUGCUUCUCCAAUAUCAACCCAAUUGUGAAACAAGUUUCCGUCUUCAACGACAAAGAGAAGGCCUCAGCAAUGGGGAUCUUCUGGUUGAGGAUUGGUUUUUCCCUAUUAUAUUUUAACCCCAAGUAAACAAUUCUGAACUGAAAAAUCUUUGUGACUGAAAAGUUGCAGAGCAAGAAAACGAAAUUAAGAAAACAACUCUUAACAACGGAUAUCUUGGUUCUCGCAUCGACGAAGAACGCAGC
rnacentral:misc_RNA from 1 species